CAUUACCACACCAAAAAACAACUUUCCACGUGAACUGUCUUACGAGAUUCGCGCCGUGACGCGUGUUGACGCUGUGUGUGUCUGUGUCUUCUUUCGAGAGGAUAUUGUGAUGCAAACAGUGUUGACCGUGUGGGUCGGCUGAUCGAAGGUCGCUUUGUGCAUUAUUGUAUGGAGCGGCUGACUUAUUCUUUCAAACCCAUUACACAAUACUACUGAUUCAUACUGUGAGGACGAAAGUCUUUGCUUUUACUAGAUAACAACUUUCAGCAGUGGAUGUCUAGGCUCGCACAUCGAUGAAGAACGCUGCGAACUGCGAUACGUAAUGCGAAUUGCAGAAUUCAGUGAGUCAUCGAAAUUUUGAACGCAUAUUGCACUUUCGGGUUAUGCCUGGAAGUAUGUCUGUAUCAGUGUCCGUAAAUCAACCUUGCCUCUCUUUGUCGGUGUAGUCCGGCUUGGAGUGUGCAGAUGUGAAGUGUCUCGCGCUACGUCAGUUUGAUGCUAUGCAAUAAGACUAGGCGCGCGAGUCCUUUGAAAACGACACGAUCUUUCUAUUGCUUUCUGUGGAGCGCGACAAUUGAACGCGGCGGUCUUGGGAUCGCCUGCAGUCGAUAGCGACUUUGGCAGAGACAUAUGGAGGAUACCUCAUUUCGCGGUACGUUAGGCUUCGGCUCGACAAUGUUGCGUAGUGUGUGUGUUUUUCCGUCUUUGCUUUGAGGUGUACUGUUGAUUGUGGGCUUGAACCUGGGUUCUGUGUGUUAGUAGAGUGUGGCUGUCUCUGUGGUUUGCGUCUGCGUGCUAUUUCGGUCGCACGUAGGUAGGAGGGUUCCAUUUGGGAAACAUUGUACUGCGCACUGGAAAGUGUGUGUGUAUCUCACUUGGACCUGAUAUCAGACAAGACUACCCGCUGAACUUAA
rnacentral:rRNA from 1 species